rnacentral:rRNA from 1 species
CGGGCGUAGCAAUACGUCAGUGGCAGACGGGUGAGUAACGCGUGGGAACGUACCUUUUGGUUCGGAACAACUGAGGGAAACUUCAGCUAAUACCGGAUAAGCCCUUACGGGGAAAGAUUUAUCGCCGAAAGAUCGGCCCGCGUCUGAUUAGCUAGUUGGUGAGGUAAUGGCUCACCAAGGCGACGAUCAGUAGCUGGUCUGAGAGGAUGAUCAGCCACAUUGGGACUGAGACACGGCCCAAACUCCUACGGGAGGCAGCAGUGGGGAAUAUUGGACAAUGGGGGCAACCCUGAUCCAGCCAUGCCGCGUGAGUGAUGAAGGCCCUAGGGUUGUAAAGCUCUUUUGUGCGGGAAGAUAAUGACGG